ensembl:piRNA 21ur-10307 ncRNA
UUACCAUUGCUAACAGAUUUU